rnacentral:rRNA from 1 species
CAGUAGCCACGGGAAUACGUAGGUGGCAAGCGCUGUCCGGAAUUAUUGGGCGUAAAGGGCUCGCAGGCGGUUUCUUAAGUCUGAUGUGAAAGCCCCCGGCUCAACCGGGGAGGGUCAUUGGAAACUGGGAAACUUGAGUGCAGAAGAGGAGAGUGGAAUUCCACGUGUAGCGGUGAAAUGCGUAGAGAUGUGGAGGAACACCAGUGGCGAAGGCGACUCUCUGGUCUGUAACUGACGCUGAGGAGCGAAAGCGUGGGGAGCGAACAGGAUUAGAUACCCGUGUAGUCCCUGUCUCUUAUAC